AUGACAUUUUGGCUUCAUUGUCUUUUCCUUUUAGCAGUAUUUGAAGGUGUCCAGUCAGAAAUGCAGCUCAGGGAAUCUGGAGGGGAUAUCAAGAGACCUGGGGAAUCCCUCCGCCUCUCCUGUCAAGCCUCUGGUUUGGACUUCAGUAACUAUUGGAUGAGCUGGGUGAGACAGGUUCCAGGGAAGGGCCUGGAAUGGGUGGCCUACAUAAACUCCAAUUCAGCUGCAAUGUACUACCUGGAUAAAGUGAAAGGAAGAUUCACCAUCUCCAGAGACAAUUCCAACAGCCUCCUCUAUCUGCAAAUGAACAACCUUAAACCCGAGGACACGGCUGUGUAUUACUGUGCAAGAGACACAGUGAGAGGAAGUGAAUCUGAAGCCAGACAAAAACCCUUCUUUUCUCAUGACUGCUCUCAAUUACAAUCUUGA